UACGGAGGGUGCAAGCGUUAAUCGGAAUUACUGGGCGUAAAGCGUGCGUAGGCGGUUUGUUAAGUCUGCUGUGAAAGCCCCGGGCUCAACCUGGGAAUAGCAGUGGAUACUGGCAAGCUCGAGUGUGUCAGAGGAUGGUGGAAUUCCCGGUGUAGCGGUGAAAUGCGUAGAGAUCGGGAGGAACAUCAGUGGCGAAGGCGGCCAUCUGGGACAACACUGACGCUGAGGCACGAAAGCGUGGGGAGCAAACAGG
rnacentral:rRNA from 1 species